GAUGAACGCUGGCGGCGUGCCUAAUACAUGCAAGUCGAGCGAACGGACGAGAAUCUUGCUUCUCUGAUGUUAGCGGCGGACGGGUGAGUAACACGUGGUUAACCUAACUAUAAGACUGGGAUAACUUCGGGAAACCGGAGCUAAUGCCGGAUAAUAUUUUGCACCUCAUGGUUCCAAAGUGAAAGACGGUCUUGCUGUCACUUAUAGCUGGAUACGCGCUGCAUUAGCUAGUUGGUAAGGUAAAGGCUUACCAAGGCUACGAUGCAUAGCCGACCUGAGAGGGAGAUCGGCCAGACUGGAACUGAGACACGGUCCAGACUCUUACGCGAGGCAGCAGUAGGGAAUCUUCCGCAAUGGGCGAGAGCCUGACGGAGCAACGCCGCGUGAGUGAUGAAGGUCUUCGGAUCGGAAAACUCUGUUAGUAGGGAAGAACAUAUGUGUAAGUAACUGUGCACAUCUUGACGGUACCUAAUCAGAAAGCCACGGCUAACUACGUG
rnacentral:rRNA from 1 species